rnacentral:lncRNA from 1 species
UUGAGACCUCAGAUUGGGCCUUUGGUGCUCACCAGCCCAUCUCAGCUUUGCCCCAUGGGCAAACUAAUGCUUGGGAACAUACUCAAGCAGAGUUGGCUGUAGAUGACCCCCAUUGGGUAUCAGCCAUGGAAGGAUCCAGAAGACCAAUUAGCACCAGACCUGGUGGCCUUGAUCAGCAACUAUUGCAUCAUGAGGAUAGAGGUUCAAGUAACAUUUUGACACCCAGUUCAACCUCUUCCAUGAGUCCAGUCUUUAUUCCUGUACAGCAUCCCACUUUUGCACCAUCCAUGGUUCCAAUUCAAACUACUGUGCCGACUGCGCAACCAGGUCUUGGACCCUCUGUAGCCCCUACAAUGACCCCAGAGAGAUGCUGGACCUCAGCACCUUUGAAUGUGGGGUCAAGUGGAGCUUUGGUUUCUUCUCCCACAACACCAUUAUCUAAGAAAGAGACUACAGUACCCACUAGUCACGUUGCAGCGUUCUCUGUCAGCGAUCCUAUGUGGAGUCCAAACUGGGAGCUGGCAUCCCAGGGACAGAGAGAGAACCGUGCCUCGCACAGGGACAAAAUACAACAGAAACGUUCAAGGAGUAUGUGUCGAAGAUCUGCCCCUACGGAAAUCUCUGCUGAUGGCCCGCUUACCCAUGUAAGAACUCGCAGAAGUCGCAGCGCACACAAAGAAAGAAGUGGAGAGAGCUCGGUAAGUAGGAGCAUAAUCAAACUUAGUUUUGUGUAUUUUUCUCUCUGUAUGUCACUCAUUUUCUCAUACACGUGCUCGCACACAACCCUAUUUAUAGGUACUUAAAGUAGCUUUUUUUUUAUUGAGAUUAUUUUUAUAUCAGCACUUCUAAUUAACAAAUAGUGUACAGCUUUUUUUUAUUAAUUUAAAUUUCCUUAACUCACCUGCCCUUUAUAACACAAACUUGUCACCUUGUCAGUGAAGGUGUAAGAAGCUUGUUAAUUUCUCAGCUUAUGAGACUUAGCCAAAAUCACUGAGGUCAUGGUUUCUCUCGCUCCAUCAUAAACAUUGUGAAGUUGUUUUCGUUCAGUUCCUAACCUUAAACUUGUAAUGUAGCACAUAGUUUUGAGCUAUAUUUCAGAUGUUGUCAAAAGGCUUAAGAAAACUGAGAUGAAAUUGCCCAGCCCUACUUUGCACAUGGACCAGCAAACAUCUUACAUAAGAGUUAAGUUCUUCACCAUGUUCUAAUGGAAAGUGUAUAAAAAUGAAGGAUGGAGAGAUUGCCUGUUGACUUCUGAUGAUGUCACCAGCUUGUAGAGACCAGAUGUUGGAGGAGUUCCCCGACAAUGUGAAUAACAGCUGUCAUAUGACCCUUUCUGGCAUGCAGUGCUCGGCUAAUGAUGUUUGCCCAUAUCUGAUGGACUUAAUAGAAUUGUUAAAGCGCAUGUUGAACUAGUUAUUUAGGCUGAGGGUCAUUAAAGCUGAAUGUUUAUAUUUAUAUGCAUGUUUGUCGGGUAUGGAGGCUAACUAGCUUGUGUUUUAUUUGUGUGUGUUUGAGUGGGUGGUGCAGGAAUGCAGUCUGAUGACAGAAAGGAGUGCCUUUAAGUUAUUGUGCAAUGGUAGAGCAUUUUCUCCAUGGCUACACUGCUAGCAGUGAGUGAGAUUGUGAAAAUCAAAGUAAAAACAGAUUUAAUCACAAUCAUAACAACUGUGUGGAAAGUUAUGAACAUGUAUGCACAACAUUAACUCCAGUUUAAACAUUCUGUUGAAGAACUUAAGAUUGAUCACCUUCUUGUUUUUGGCGGACAAAUUCAUUGAAAUUUCGUAACAAAAAAAGUGUUUUCAGAAAAGAGGGAAGUUUUUCCACCUAGAGACUUACUCAACAAGGC